GAUGAACGCUGGCGGCGUGCCUAAUACAUGCAAGUCGAGCGAACAGAUGAGGAGCUUGCUCCUCUGACGUUAGCGGCGGACGGGUGAGUAACACGUGGAUAACCUACCUAUAAGACUGGUAUAACUUCGGGAAACCGGAGCUAAUACCGGAUAAUAUAUUGAACCGCAUGGUUCAAUAGUGAAAGACGGUUUUGCUGUCACUUAUAGAUGGAUCCGCGCCGCAUUAGCUAGUUGGUAAGGUAACGGCUUACCAAGGCAACGAUGCGUAGACGACCUGAGAGGGUGAUAGGCCACCCUGGAACUGAGACACGGUCCAGACUCCUACGGGAGGCAGCAGUAGGGAAUCUUCCGCAAUGGGCGAAAGCAUGACGGAGCAACGCCGCGUGAGUGAUGAAGGUCUUCGGAUCGUAAAACUCUGUUAUUAGGGAAGAACAAAUGUGUAAGUAACUAUGCACGUCUUGACGGUACCUAAUCAGAAAGCCACGGCUAACUACGUG
rnacentral:rRNA from 1 species